GGGAUUAUCUGACAAUCUAAUAAGAAGCUUGUAUGAAAGUCUAAAAAAAACAUGUCAGUUGAAAUUAGGACUUGAUCCAGAGAUGUUAGCAUUAUUAAAGAAAGAGGGCAUUGUAUGCAAAUCCAGAAUAAAGACAGGUGUUAAAUAUUUAUACAUAAUUUUUCACAGAGUUUUAUUCUGCUUUGGCAAACGCACCUGAGACAUUUAUAUUAAAAUUGUUAUAAAUAAUUAAUAAGAAUUUAAAUAAAAUUCUAUUAUCUUAAGCUCCAG